UAUAUUUGGUUCUGUUUUGGAUUUUUGAAAGUUCAGUCCAGUUUGACUUGGCAAUGUGAGAUUUGGUGGACUUUUUUCCCCUCCUUAUUAGACCCCGUAACCAGUUUCCCCCCAUAACGGCAUGAAAUUUGAUACACAUUUUCCAUCAAGAGUAGACCCACCAAAUAUUUGGUUGUUUAGAUUUGUUUUUAGGGGUGCUCUUGAGCUUGGCAUAGCGAAUUUUGUUGAGACUCGAAUGAAUUGAUUGUGAAUGAAACCCAGGGUGGAGUGGAAAUGAAAUUCACCUUCAUCCAUUAAGACACUUUAGGUCACAGUUCCUUCGGGCGUCUACCGGCUGCCCCCCGCAAUCAAAUACCUCGAAAUAGGAUGGACUCCAAAUUAGGAAAUGUUUGAGAAACAUUUCAAGCGUAUAUUACACACACACACACACACACAUAUACACACAUAGCUACAAUUACCUCGGUGGUCCAAAGACAGGCUUUUUUGUGUCAUAUUUGAAGCUACAACCGUUAAAGCUUAAAAGAUGGAUCCGUUUACAUUUGAAAUGUUUCAUACUUCGGUGUAAAAAAAAAAAAAAAAAAAAAAUGGCGGUGGAAGCGCUCACUUUAAAAGCGCACUCACUUUGUUCUUUGUUGCUCCUGUGAUGCAGAAGUCUAAAAAAAAAAAAAAAACUGCUUUUAACGUAAAAGAGCCAUUGAGAGGAAGUGAAAGUUGGUGGGAAAACUUUGACAAAUCAUUGAUUUCUAUCAGGAUUUUAUAAAUAUAUAUACAUAUAUUAUAAAAAAAAAAAAAAUGAAUGUUUGGUUGUGUUUCGGGGCUUCUCAAUGUUGGUUGCUCUUCUCACGGCACAAAAUAAUUUUAACCAUUUUUUUUUAGUCAAACUAAAACUGAAUCAUGAAAUUGUACAACCACCCCUCAAAGAGUUUUUGACUAAGUCAAAAAAAAAAAAGGUGAUAAUGUGACGUUAUCACGUAAAUAUUUAUUGCAAUUUGAUCUCUAUGCACACUUAAAUUUGCACAUCCUGUUUCUUAGAGCGAGAUGUCGUUGUCCCCCCUCAAGUAUUUGGCCUCUUUUUAGUUUUAAUUUUUUGGGUUCCCCCCCUUCGGCGCAGCUCCUCGCCAAACUUGAAUCCAAAUUGUUUUCGUAGACCUCAUUCAAAAGAUUUGACAUGAAAUGUCCCUGAAAUGCGGCAAAGAUGAGGAGUGAGCACGAGCACUCGUGGAAUAAGCUAAAAUGUCCACUUUGAACGCCAAACCUCUGGUGCUUUUUUUUUUUUCUUUUUGUCAAUGUUGUUUGUGUUCUCUCUCUCUGGACAUAUUUACCUCAUUUUGCCAGCUGCCAACAAGACGCAGGCAGCGCACUGCUCAGUCCACUUAAGUGUUUUUGAAAUUUAUUUUUUGUUUUUGUUGGAUUUCUCCUCAGCGGCAGAAGUGGUUGUGAUGCAUUCAAGGACCCGUGUACAGUACUGUAACAUGUCGGCGCUUUGUGACGUACUGUGUGAUGCUUUUUCUGUUCUUUUUUUCUUCUUCUGGGAUCUUUUCUAGAGGAAAUCCUCUGACGAGCAGUGGCGGUUUUAUAAACUUGUCAUCCUUAAAAAAAGAAAGCUGAAAAAGAAAAUGCAAGCUGAUUUUUUUGUGUACGACAAAGGCUAAGAGGCAUGAUUUUAACCUUUUUCUGACAACUUGUAGAUGUUGUAGUUGAUGACUUUAAUUGAAUUUGAAAACUGAGUGAUUUCAAGGAUUUCUUUCUCCAAUUAAACGUCUUCUAUGACUGAUUUCGCUCCCUGUUAUUUUUUUCGUUUGUGUGACUUGGACAAAAAAAAUAUUAUUUUUGGGGGGGCGUUGUAGAAAACAACCGCAUUUUAUUUUAAUUAACCUGAAUUGUCAAUGAAUAUUUCAGCCUCUAAUCUUGACCUUCUCCCCGAAGCUGUCCAGAUCUGAAAUGUAAAGCGUCACAACGGCGCCCUCUUCAGGUGUCUGGUAGUCAGUACAGCGUUUGACAAACCAGAAUUUUAAAGGCAAGCUGUUGGAAAGCAUCAUUAAUGUGGAUUUCAGUCGAUGGCAGUAAAUGCUUCUCUUCCAUCGACCAAUUAUUAUUAUUUUUUUUGCUUUGCUGUCAAUGUGAACAGUAUCACCAUUUCUAACAAGUUAAUUUAUUCCCAAUUUGAACAUUUGUCAAGAAAAAAGCAGAGCCUAUGGAGUGCCACACCAUGUUUGAACUUUUGUUUUUGUCUUAGUCCAUCUGCUGGCGGCCAACAUCUGUCACGUUUUUUUUUUUUUUUUUUUUACUCCCGGCGUGCUGAGGUUCGAGCCGGGGGCCUUUUGUGAGUGGCGCCAUUGUGUGGGCGUCCAUUGUGUGUGUGUGUUUGUGAGAAAUGAUUUGCAGACAUUUGGGCUUCCUCUGAGCAUUUUGCAAACUUUCAACUGCCUGAAAAUUGUCUCUAUGUAUUUCAUACAUUAUGACAUGCUUAUUACGUGAAAAAUAAUUUGCAAUUUUGUCCAUUUCAGUCAACUAGCAUUUGUGAAGCGCUAAGGAGCGUCGGACCCAAUUCUGCUAACAGAUGUGAAGCACCGCUCACAAGUAAGCUGUAAGUUCUCUCGUUGAAGUUUCUUCCCGUUUGAGAAGCUGGACCAUUGUUGGUGUUAAAUGUAGCAGCGGGAGCGACAUUGUCUUGAAUGAAUAGACCCCCCCACACACACACACACACGCUCACACUUUUCUGUCUCCAAGGAGACACUUUAGAGUCGGGGUGGCAGCCAACAGUGCAUCCAUUGAAAUGGCCGCCGCGGGGUUGACAACAGAUUGAGGCCGCACCACACCACACCAGCGGAGCACGUUUAGUCUCUUUUUAUUAUUUGCAAAAAUAGUCUUGGCUAAUUCCUUCAUUGACAAACAGCAGAAGAAUAAAAUGUACAGCACAAUUCCUCUUAAAUAACUUUUUUUUUUUUCAUUCCCAUUGACCUGAAGUGCCUUUGCAAAUAUCAUCAUCCGUCAAAAGAAAGCAACUUAAAUAAUCCUGACAAACAAGCACAAAUAUACAAUACAAAAUAAGAAUAACACAGAAUGCUUAAAUUAACUUAAAUUAAAUCAGAAUAAAAUCAUAAUUUUUUUUUUCUUUUCUAUUUUACAAAAAGAGGACAAUCGGUUUCGAGGAAGAAGAGGACAAUGCUUUUGUCACUGGCGUAUUAGAGGGCAAAAAAAUUCAUAAAAGGUCAUAUAGCAACCACCUUUUUUUUCUUUUCUUUUUUUACGAAGAGGCCAUUAUGGCCAAACAUCCGCUGUUUGAUGCGGUUCCUGGGUCUGAGAAAAAGGCCUGGGUGCAAACAUUGCAAAAAACAAAA